rnacentral:rRNA from 1 species
UGGCUCAGGAUGAACGCUGGCGGCGUGCUUAACACAUGCAAGUCGAACGAUGAAGCCCAGCUUGCUGGGUGGAUUAGUGGCGAACGGGUGAGUAACACGUGAGUAACCUGCCCUUAACUCUGAUAAGCCUGGGAAACUGGGUCUAAUACCGGAUAGGAGCGUGAAAGAUUUAUCGGUUUUGGAUGGACUCGCAAGCCUAUCAGCUUGUUGGUGAGGUAAUGGCACCAAGGCGACGACGGGUAGCCGGCCUGAGAGGGUGACCGGCCACACUGGGACUGAGCGGCCCAGACUCCUACGGGUGGCAGCAGUGGGGAAUAUUGCACAAUGGGCGCAAGCCUGAUGCAGCGACGCCGCGUGAGGGAUGACGGCCUUCGGGUUGUAAACCUCUUUCAGUAGGGAAGAAGCGAAAGUGACAAUACCUGCAGAAGAAGCACCGGCUAACUACGUGCCAGCAGCCGCGGUAUACGUAGGGUGCGAGCGUUAGGCCGGAAUUAUUGGGCGUAAAGAGCUCGUAGGCGGUUUGUCGCGUCUGUCGUGAAAGUCCGGGGCUUAACCCCGGAUCUGCGGUGGGUACGGGCAGACUAGAGUGCAGUAGGGGAGACUGGAAUUCCUGGUGUAGCGGUGGAAUGCGCAGAUAUCAGGAGGAACACCGAUGGCGAAGGCAGGUCUCUGGGCUGUUAACUGACGCUGAGGAGCGAAAGCAUGGGGAGCGAACAGGAUUAGAUACCCUGGUAGUCCAUGCCGUAAACGUUGGGCACUAGGUGUGGGGACCAUUCCACGGUUUCCGCGCCGCAGCUAACGCAUUAAGUGCCCCGCCUGGGGAGUAGGAGGCCGCAAGGCUAUUACUCACCGGAAUUGACGGGGGCCCGCACAAGCGGCGGAGCAUGCGGAUUAAUUCGAUGCAACGCGAAGAACCUUACCAAGGCUUGACAUGUUCUCGAUCGCCGUAGAGAUACGGUUUCAACUUUGGGGCGGGUUCACAGGUGGUGCAUGGUUGUCGUCAGCUCGUGUCGUGAGAUGUUGGGUUAAGUCCCGCAACGAGCGCAUCCCUCGUUUCCAUGUUGCCAGCACGUCGUGGUGGGGACUCAUGGGAGACUGCCGGGGUCAACUCGGAGGAAGGUGAGGACGACGUCAAAUCAUCAUGCGGCUUAUGUCUUGGGCUUCACGCAUGCUACAAUGGCCGGUACAAUGGGUUGCGAUACUGUGAGGUGGAGCUAAUCCCAAAAAGCCGGUCUCAGUUCGGAUUGGGGUCUGCAACUCGACCCCAUGAAGUCGGAGUCGCUAGUAAUCGCAGAUCAGCAACGCUGCGGUGAAUACGUUCCCGGGCCUUGUACACACCGCCCGUCAAGUCACGAAAGUCGGUAACACCCGAAGCCGGUGGCCUAACCC